UUCAGCAGUUGAUUGAUUUGGGACAGAAGAUGAAAGAAACUCAAAGUGGUCAAAAAACGAUAAAAGAAGAAGCAGAAAAACAAAUUAACGAUCUUAAACAACAGCUGCAGAAAAAGGAGGAGGACGUUUCUAAACUGAAGCAGAGUAAUACAGAUCUUAAAGAGCAGGUGAAGAACAAGGAUAAGGACGUUUCACAGCUGAACAAUGAAAAAGCAGCUCUGAAUGCAGAACUGGGAAAGAAGAAGGAGGAGCUAAUCAAAGCCGAAAAGGAGGUGAAGGUUAAGGAGGAGGCCAUCGAUAACGUGAAAAAGGAGCUCAAGACCAAAGAGGAGGAGAUCAAGGGUGGAUGCAGCGAAGUUAAAAAGAAGCUGAAGAGUAAGGAGGAGGAGGUUACUAAGCUGAAGGAAAGCCACAAAAGUAAGAUCUUUCAUUUCUCUGAUUAUAGAAGAAAAGCAUUUCAAUAUUUUACUGUUUAAACUAGU
rnacentral:lncRNA from 1 species